UAAGGAAUAUUGGUCAAUGGACGAAAGUCUGAACCAGCCAUGCCGCGUGGAGGAUGAAGGUCCUCUGGAUUGUAAACUUCUUUUAUCUGGGACGAAAAAAGGUCUUUCUAGAUCGUCUGACGGUACCAGAUGAAUAAGCACCGGCUAACUCCGUGCCAGCAGCCGCGGUAAUACGGAGGGUGCAAGCGUUAUCCGGAUUCACUGGGUUUAAAGGGUGCGUAGGUGGGUUGGUAAGUCAGUGGUGAAAUCUUCGAGCUUAACUCGGAAACUGCCAUUGAUACUAUCAGUCUUGAAUAUUGUGGAGGUUAGCGGAAUAUGUCAUGUAGCGGUGAAAUGCUUAGAUAUGACAUAGAACACCAAUUGCGAAGGCAGCUGGCUACACAUAUAUUGACACUGAGGCACGAAAGCGUGGGGAUCAAACAGGAUUAGGUACCCUGGUAGUCCACGCCCUAAACUAUGGAUACUCGACAUACGCGAUACACUGUGUGUGUCUGAGCGAAAGCAUUAAGUAUCCCCACCUGGGGAAGUACGAUCGCAAGAUUGAAACUCAAAGGAAUGACGGGGUCAUAGCUAUUUGCCUG
rnacentral:rRNA from 1 species